rnacentral:lncRNA from 1 species
UUAUAGAAGGUUUUAUGCAUUUGAAUACAUUUCGGAUUACUUUCAAGGGGAUGACUACCCAGUUCCUCCUCCGUCGUUCCUUUAAGGUGGAAAGCUGGCAUACGGCCUUGUGCAUGCAGUAGCUGGUGGUUUGGAUGUUAUUGUGCCAAUGGGCAAAUGCACUGAUGAUUACUCAGGGCUUUUCUUCAGAAUUUGUUAUGCUAUUGCAAAACAUUUCAGGGUCAUUGUAACAAAUAUUCAACUUGAGUGAGUUUUUUGGAUGGAUGAACUAGGCAUGACUUCACUUGCAAAAGUACUAAAGAUAUGUUUGUUAUGCAGGCAGCCCGGUCAGAGCGUCAAUAAGUGCUAAGUGCUCUGACAAGAAUGAGAAGAACAUUGACAAUAAGUUAUGGUUAGUGUAGAAUUUGGCCAUUCUCUUGCCUUAUGCCACCACCCUCUUUAUGUCGGAUGCUUCUGCUGCUGCAUCUGCACAUCAUGCUUUGAAUGGUCAUAUAAUAUAAUUUCAUU